UUGUCGUCAGCUCGUGUCGUGAGAUGUUGGUUAAGUCCCGCAACGAGCGCAACCCUCGACCUUAGUUGCCAGCAUUCAGUUGGGCACUCUAAGGUGACUGCCGGCUAAAAGUCGGAGGAAGGUGGGGAUGACGUCAAAUCAUCAUGCCCCUUAUGACCUGGGCUACACACGUGCUACAAUGGGCGGUACAAAGGGUCGCGAACCUGCGAGGGGGAGCCAAUCCCAAAAAGCCGCUCUCAGUUCGGAUUGCAGGCUGCAACUCGCCUGCAUGAAGCCGGAAUCGCUAGUAAUCGCGGAUCAGCAUGCCGCGGUGAAUACGUUCCCGGGCCUU
rnacentral:rRNA from 1 species